rnacentral:rRNA from 1 species
UACAGAGGUCUCAAGCGUUGUUCGGAUUCAUUGGGCGUAAAGGGUGCGUAGGCGGCGCGGUAAGUCGGGUGUGAAAUCUUGGAGCUUAACUCCGAAACUGCAUUCGAUACUGCCGUGCUUGAGGACUGGAGAGGAGACUGGAAUUUACGGUGUAGCGGUGAAAUACGUAGAUAUCAGGUGGAAUACCGGUGGCGAAGGCGGCCAAUUGGCCCAACACUGACGCUGAGAUACGAAAGCGUGGGGAUCAAACAGG